GCAGGCGUGGCCUAGUGGCCAAGGAGUUUGACUUGAGAUCAGAAGGUUGAUGGUUAGAUCCCCAGCUCCA